GUAUCCAAGCAGCAAGCAAUACACAGAGGUUAUUUUCCUGUUUGUCACCAGAUAUCCCUUCAUGAAGGAACACAUGAGAUCUGGUUAUUCUUUGAAAAAUACAUUCAAGAAGGAGAGUCGCCCACUGAUCCAUGACCAGAACGUGCAAGAAAUGAGGGCCAAGUUUGCUGUGACAGGGUCUGGCAGGAUACGCCGCAUGUCACUUCCGCCGACUGAGCCGAGACAGCGUGUGCAUAUAACUAGGCCAGCUGUCGAAAAGGACAGUCUGUGGAGAGGACGAGAGGAGCAUCCAGGCUCAUCUUCCAAAAAUCCCCACAGGGAUGACGAAGGUGCUCCCAGAUGUGAAACUUUCACAGGAGGAAAUGAACAGGAUGAGAUUUUACAGGAGAACGUUUAUGGUGGAUGCCCAGACUACUGAAAUCCUGGAAAAGUUUCCAUCACCUCAGCUUCCAAAAGUGGAAGCAAGUCUACCAGGUGGAGACCAACUGCAAAAUCCUAACAGAGCUGGCACCAAUGGCAGCUAAUAUCCUUCAGCUGGCACCAAAGGGGAGAUGAAGGAUCGCUGCCAAAGGGCAAUUGAUGACUGUCUGGAGGAAUCAG